rnacentral:rRNA from 1 species
CCUACGGGUGGCAGCAGUAGGGAAUAUUACUCAAUGGGGGAAACCCUGAAGCAGCAACGCCGCGUGGAGGAUGAAGGUUUUCGGAUUGUAAACUCCUUUUGUUAGAGAAGAUAAUGACGGUAUCUAACGAAUAAGCACCGGCUAACUCCGUUCCAGCAGCCGCGGUAAUACGGAGGGUGCAAGCGUUACUCGGAAUCACUGGGCGGAAAGAGCGCGUAGGCGGGAUAGCAAGUCAGAUGUGAAAUCCUAUGGCUUAACCAUGGAACUGCAUUUGAAACUGUUAUUCUAGAGUAUGGGAGAGGUAGGUGGAAUUCUUGGUGUAGGGGUAAAAUCCGUAGAGAUCAAGAGGAAUACUCAUUGCGAAGGCGACCUGCUAGAACAUAACUGACGCUGAUGCGCGAAAGCGUGGGGAGCAAACAGGAUUAGAUACCCGAGUAGUC